rnacentral:rRNA from 1 species
UACGGGGGGGGCAAGCGUUGUUCGGAAUUACUGGGCGUAAAGGGCUCGUAGGUGGCCAACUAAGUCGGACGUGAAAUCCCUCGGCUUAACCGGGGAACUGCGUCCGAUACUGGUUGGCUUGAGUUUGGGAGAGGGAUGCGGAAUUCCAGGUGUAGCGGUGAAAUGCGUAGAUAUCUGGAGGAAUACCGGUGGCGAAGGCGGCAUCCUGGACCGACAUUGACGCUGAGGAGCGAAAGCUAGGGGAGCAAACGGG